UGGGAGUUCUCAUUCAGUCCGAGAGGGUAUCAGUUUACUUUCCAUCAAUUUUCCUUGGAAUUAAUAAAAAAAAUAAUUUACUCCAAGUGAAUGUUUAGGCUCAGUGUCCUUCUUGAAAUCAGUACUCACAGGACAUGUACUGUCCCUGGAGAUUAAAGCCAAGAUUAUAUCCUGGGCUGAGCCACAAAGGGCAAGGAGGACUUCUCAGAAAAACAAGAAAGAACAAUCACACUAAACCACUGGCACUUUAAUUACAGUGGAUUUCAUACUCUCAGAGCAAGAAGGGAAGCUCCUUAGCCAAAGAGCAGAAAAUAGACACCAAGAGGAAUGUAAAUGAUAUCCAAGGGUUAAAGGUUAGAUUGUAAACACGAAACUUUAGAUUUAAGGAGGAUUCUGAGGGAGUCUAGCCUCAGCAGGACACUGAACCCUAAAGUAAAAGAAAACUCUGGAAUACAAAGGGACUGUGACCACAAAAGCUGAGUGAUUUUUUAAUUGAAUAAAUUACUGUAUAUAUUUCCAAGGUCAAAGAUGUCUAAUGAGAUACUAGGAGAAUGCCAGAAUGUUUUUGCUAGAGCCUCUGGAUAGUUCUUUUCCUCCUGCUGCCUCCCCUCCAUUCCCACCGCCGUACCCGCACUACAGACAGAAUCACUUCUUAAAACCCAGAGCUCAUCUUACUGCACAUCUGCACAAAAACCUUCCGUGGCUAUCAUCCAUAGCAGUCCAGUUCCCAGCUCUCAAUGUCCUCAAUCCUCUUCCCCUAUCUUUUCCCAUCUUUCCAGCCUACUUCCCACCAUCUCGCCAUCCGCCUACCCGUGCUCCAGCCCUUUCCCCUACAGGAAUUACCACAGGACCCUGUGCCGCCUUAUCUCUAAAAUGCUUUCCCUUCUGUGCCUUUCCCCUCACACCCAGUUAUUGAAAGUUCUAUCUGCAAGGGAUUAAAUCCAAUGCCCCAUCCCUUUCUGUUCCCAUAGUCAUCUUAUGAAGCUUCUUUUUCCAGGAUUUCACGUUUUGCCGUGUUUGAUGUUUUUGUGUGGUUGUCCGUUCUGCUGUUAAGCUCCUUGAAUGCAGAAAUUGUGUUAUACAUCUUCACAACUGUUACCUUCCACGUUACCAAACACCUAGGAACCCCUCCAAAAAGAGCUCUUAAAAAACUAUAAACGGAAAUAUAAUUCUGAAGGAGGGAAUUUCCAAGAAUAGGGUUGACUUACAAGUGUGGAUUUGCUUGGCUUUCAGUGUAGAUUCCAAAGCUAGUUUCCCCUACCGCCCCCUCAGUGAGCCUAAGGAAAGGUAGAAGCCCAGAAGAUUAAAAUACGGAAUAUUUCGUUAGGAAACAUUUCUGAACUCCAGGAGUCCGGAAUGUUAUCUUACCAUCCAAUUCAUUAAUAAAAAGCUGCGGGGGCGGGGGGGGGGGCAGUGGGACUCUACACCAAAGUUCGUCUCUCCCCCCCCCUUUAGUUAUAGAUUUCAAAGCUGCUUCUAACUAAUUACAGCUUCACUUGCCCACACGUUCGAAGGAAUCAGGAACUUCUCUAGAAAGCAGUUCUUUCUGUUCCCCUU
rnacentral:lncRNA from 1 species